CGAACCGCUUACUGCCAGCUGUUUUGACCGAUUGAGUGGUUGCGUUCGAGUUUAUGUCAAGUCCGAUGGUCACCGUCAUUCAAAAUCUAUCCGCUGCCUUUGACACCAUGAACCAUCAGAUCCUCCUCUUCACCAUCUCAUGGUGGCGUCUCAGGCUCUGCACACUCUUGGAUUGCAUCCUACCUUGCAGGUCGCUUCUACCAGGUGGCGACAUGCAUUUCUGCGUGCCUGGCAGAUAUCUCAACCUCGACAAGACGGAACUGCCCGCUCAAAGAACUCUCCAUCAUGGUUGACAGCUCCACAGUGUUGCCCUCCCAGAGUGCAAAGAACCUUGGCGUGACCCCGGACAACCCUCGGUCAUUCUCUGCAAACAGCAAAGCAGUGACCCGCUCCUUCAGGUUAAUGCUCUAAAAUCCAUAGAGUACGACCCUACCUCACACAGGAAGCGGCACAGGUCCUAAUCCAGGCACUUGUCCUCUCCCGUCUGGACUACUGUAACUCGCUGUUUGCUGGGCUCCCCGCUUGUGCCAUUAAACCUCUGCAAAUUAUCCAGAACGCUGCAGCCCACCUGGUUUUCAACCUUCCCAUGUUUUCUCAUGUCACCCCGCUCCUCCACACACUCCACUGGCUUCCAGUUUAAACUCGCAUCCACUACAAGACCAUGGUGCUUACCUACAGACCAGUAAGAGGAACUGCCCUUCCCUACCUUCAGGCUAUGCUCAAACCCUACACCCUAACACGAGGACACCGUUCUGCCACCUUAGGUAUCUUGCCGUUCCCGCUUAGCCCACUCCAAACUCUUCUCUGACCAGGCAUCCCAAUGGUGGAACCUUCUUCCCCCUGAAGCUAGGACAGCAGAGUCCCUGCCCAUCUUCUGAAAACAUCUGAAACCCUACCUCUUCAAACAGCAUCUUACAUAAUCCUCCUCCUCACCUCAACCCCCCCCCCCCC